UUUGCGUUAGCGAUUGCAGCGGCAUCCUUUUGUGGCAAAGCGCAGCGAAGCCAUAAAAGAUAAAGCGGAAAGCGCGACGGCGG
rnacentral:sRNA from 1 species